rnacentral:rRNA from 1 species
GACGAACGCUGGCGGCGUGCUUAACACAUGCAAGUCGAACGGGAAGUCCCUGCUUUUGUGUUCUGCUCGAAUGGCGAACGGGUGAGUAACGCGUGAUUAACCUGCCCUUGACUUUGUGAUAACUUCAGGAAACUAGGACUUAUACACGAAUGGUACUCCUUCUUCAUACUUGGGUUUGGAAAGCUUCGGGGGUUGGGGAUUGACCGGCGGCUUAUCAGCUUGUUGGUGGGGUAGUGGAUUACCAAGUCUCUGACGGGUAGCCGGCCUGAGAGGGUGACCGGCCACAUUGGGACUGAGUGACGGACGAGACUACUACGGGAGGCAGGAGGGGGGAAUGAAGAACGAUGGGCGGAAGAAUGAUGCAGCCACGAAGGGUGCGGGAUGAAGGACUUCGGGUGGGAAGCCGAUUUCGCCUGUGACGAAGCGUGAGUGACGGUAAUGGGUAAAGAAGCACCGGCUAACUACGUG